AAUCAACAGAGCGGUCCGAUUCAAGCCGGUCUUUUAUACUUGUUUAUUGCUUUUUUGGUCUUUAUUUUAUUGAGCAAAGGGUAUAGUUUAUUUCUCCAAAAAGAGAUGCAGUAGAUGUCUUGUUAACUUCGUAAGGAAGUAAAAGAUACAAUGGAAGACGUAACCUCAUGUCCUAUAUGUUGAACAAACCUAUAGUUUGAACAACUAAAAAAU
rnacentral:lncRNA from 1 species